CCAUCAGUGGUUCAGUGGUAGAAUGCACGCCUGCCACGCGGGCGGCCCGGGUUCGAUUCCUGGUCGAUGCU
rnacentral:tRNA from 1 species